rnacentral:lncRNA from 1 species
GGAUUGGGAUAUUCCGACUCCUUAAGGGCCUGGCGCACAUAAGGUGUGACCUUUUCAUUCCCGUUGUUAUGGAGGGCCACAUCUGCCAGAGCCUGGAGUCUGCGAAGGCCGGGACCCGGUUCCCCGGCCCACAGUGGGGGUGUGCAAACCCGAGAGAACUGGAUUGCGUACCCACUGCAGAGUGCUGAAGACGGGGUAGCCACGAGGUUUUGAGAACAGAGUGCUGUUUUAGAGCUGGCAGCAGCAUCUCAGCCCAAGAGAAGGUAAGCCUUGAGCUGGCCAAUGAUCCCUUCAACCCCAUAGUGGAAUGAAUAAACAGCUGAUCUUGUUAAAACUCGCUUC